UACAGAGGUCUCAAGCGUUGUUCGGAUUCAUUGGGCGUAAAGGGUGCGUAGGUGCGCUGUAAGUCGGGUGUGAAAUUUCGGAGCUUAACUCCGAAACUGCAUUCGAUACUGCGGUGCUUGAGGACUGGAGAGGAGACUGGAAUUCAUGGUGUAGCAGUGAAAUGCGUAGAGAUCAUGAGGAAGACCAGUGGCGAAGGCGGGUCUCUGGACAGUUCCUGACACUGAGGCACGAAGGCCAGGGGAGCAAACGGG
rnacentral:rRNA from 1 species